GCUGAGCGUGGUGGUGCAUGCCUGUAGUCCCAGCUACUUGGGAGGCUGAGGUGGGAGGAUCGCUUGAGCCCAGGAGGUUAAGGCUGCAGUGAGCCAUGACUGUGCCACUGCAUUCCAGCUUGGGCAACAAAGUGAGACCCUGUCUUUU
rnacentral:sRNA from 1 species